rnacentral:misc_RNA from 1 species
UUAAUUAUUUUAUAAUACUCAGACAUCACUAAACAAAAGAGUUUGGAUCCUCUGGCGGGCACGGUCAGCCGGAGCCAACGCCGAAACGGCGGCCCGCCAAAGCAACAAAGGUAUGUAUUCAAGGGUGGGAGAUCUACCCGUGAGGGCAUGAACUCUGUAAUGAUCCUUCCGCAGGUUCACCUACGGAAA